UCGCCUGAUGAUUAAGAAAAGACGCGUUAUUAUGAGGACUUGUGGCUGGAAACUUCUUCUUCUCCUCCACCUCCCCCUCCCCCCUCCUUUAUUCCUCCUUUCACCUUCUCCCUUCAUCCCAAUCUUUACCUCCCUGCCUCCCUUUUUCAUAGUGACCAGCGUCCACUGAGCAAGAUUAUGAGAUAUGAGGGCGG